CAUCAUGAACUCCUGACAAGAUCAGCAAACUUGAAGAAAAGGACAAAAUGGAUAACUGAUGCACCUGGACCAAUAGCAAGAGACAGCAAGAGGCUCUGGAGGAAGAAGUAGAACUGGCAUGUAGGAGUAAUAUGGAUUCCUGUUUUGCACCUCAAUGAAAUAAUUAAUUGCUUACAAGAGCAAGAAGAAAG